rnacentral:rRNA from 1 species
GUCUACGGCCAUACCACCCUGAACGCACCCGAUCUCGUCUGAUCUCUGAAGCUAAGCAGGGUCGGGCCUGGUUAGUACUUGGAUGGGAGAAGACAAGCAUGGCUCAGUGGGCA